rnacentral:tRNA from 1 species
AUAUUGGUGGCUGAGUGGUAAAGCGCUUGGCUUUCAAAACGAGAGGCUCCGGGUUCGAAUCUCGAUGAUUUUG